UACGGGGGGGGCAAGCGUUGUUCGGAAUUACUGGGCGUAAAGGGCUCGUAGGUGGCCAACUAAGUCAGACGUGAAAUCCCCAGGCUCAACCUGGGAACUGCGUCUGAUACUGGAUGGCUUGAAUCCGGGAGAGGGAUGCAGAAUUCCAGGUGUAGCGGUGAAAUGCGUAGAGAUCCGGCGGAACACCGGUGGCGCAGGCGGCGCCCUGGGCCGAGCCCGACGCUGAGGCGCGAGAGCGUGGGGAGCGAACCGG
rnacentral:rRNA from 1 species